rnacentral:rRNA from 1 species
AGUGAACGCUGGCGGUAGGCCUAACACAUGCAAGUCGAACGGCAGCACAGUAAGAGCUUGCUCUUAUGGGUGGCGAGUGGCGAACGGGUGAGUAAUAUAUCGGAACGUGCCCAGUAAUGGGGGAUAGCCCGGCGAAAGCCGGAUUAAUACCGCAUACGACCUACGGGUGAAAGCGGGGGAUCGCAAGACCUCGCGUUAUU